UACGUAGGGUGCAAGCGUUGUCCGGAAUUACUGGGCGUAAAGCGUGCGCAGGCGGUGAUGUAAGACCGAUGUGAAAGCCCCGGGCUUAACUUGGGAAUUGCGCUCGAAACUACUUUGCUGGAGUGUGGCAGAGGAAGGUGGAAUUCCACGUGUAGCGGUGAAAUGCGUAGAGAUGUGGAGGAACACCAAUGGCGAAGGCAGCCUUCUGGGCCAACACUGACGCUCAUGCACGAAAGCGUUGGGAGCAAACAGG
rnacentral:rRNA from 1 species